rnacentral:rRNA from 1 species
AUUGAACGCUGGCGGCAUGCUUUACACAUGCAAGUCGAACGGUAACAGGCCGCAAGGUGCUGACGAGUGGCGAACGGGUGAGUAAUGCAUCGGAACGUGCCCAGUCGUGGGGGAUAACGCAGCGAAAGCUGUGCUAAUACCGCAUACGAUCUAUGGAUGAAAGCGGGGGACCGUAAGGCCUCGCGCGAUUGGAGCGGCCGAUGUCAGAUUAGGUAGUUGGUGGGGUAAAGGCCUACCAAGCCGACGAUCUGUAGCUGGUCUGAGAGGACGACCCGCUACACUGGGACUGAGACACGGCCCAGACUCCUACGGGAGGCAGCAGUGGGGAAUUUUGGACAAUGGGCGCAAGCCUGAUCCAGCAAUGCCGCGUGCAGGAAGAAGGCCUUCGGGUUGUAAACCGCUUUUGUACGGAACGAAACGGUCUGGGUUAAUACCCUGGGCUAAUGACGGUACCGUAAGAAUAAGCACCGGCUAACUACGUGCCAGCCGCCGCGGUAAAAC